rnacentral:tRNA from 1 species
GCCUCCCUAGCUCAAUUGGUAGAGCAGCGGACUCUUAAUCCGUUGGUUGAAGGUUCGAGUCCUUCGGGGGGCA